UACAUAGGUGGCGAACGUUAUCCGGAUUUAUUGGGCGUAAAGGAUGCGUAGAUGGUGGAAUAAGUUAUUGGUCAAAGUCAAGCUCAACUUGGCGGAAGCUGGUAAUACUAUUCUACUCGAGGAUAGGAGAGGUUGGCGGAAUUCUGUGUGGAGCGGUGAAAUGCGUUGAUCUACAGAGGAACACCAAAAAAGGCGAAGGCAGCCAACUAGUCUAUUCCUGACAUUGAGGCAUGAAAGCGUGGGGAGCAAACCGG
rnacentral:rRNA from 1 species